UACGUAGGGGGCAAGCGUUGUCCGGAAUCAUUGGGCGUAAAGCGCGUGUAGGCGGCUCGAUAAGUCUGCUGUGAAAGUCCAGGGCUCAACCCUGGGAUGCCGGUGGAUACUGUCGAGCUCGAGUCCGGAAGAGGCGAGUGGAAUUCCUGGUGUAGCGGUGAAAUGCGCAGGUAUCAGGAGGAACACCAAUGGCGAAGGCAGCUCGCUGGGACGUGACUGACGCUGAGACGCGAAAGCGUGGGGAGCAAACAGG
rnacentral:rRNA from 1 species